rnacentral:piRNA from 1 species
CUCCUACAAGGGCUUGGGU